rnacentral:rRNA from 1 species
UACGUAGGUGGCGAGCGUUGUCCGGAUUUAUUGGGCGUACAGGGCGCGCAGGCGGUCCGUUUUAGUCCGAGGUGAAAUCUCCUGGCUCAACUGGGAGGGGUCUUCGGAUACUGGCGGGCUUGAGGUGAGCAGAGGUGAGCGGAAUUCUGGGUGUAGUGGUGAAAUGCGUAGAUAUCCAGAGGAACACCAGUGGCGAAGGCGGCUCACUGGGCUCCACCUGACGCUGAGGCGCGAAAGCGUGGGGAGCGAACCGG